rnacentral:rRNA from 1 species
AAAGCUCAAAUUUAAAAUCUGGUGGUUUCGGCCAUCCGAGUUGUAAUCUAGAGAAGUGCUACCCGCGCUGGUCCGUGUACAAGUCUCUUGGAACAGUGCGUCAUAGAGGGUGAGAAUCCCGUCUCUGACACGGGCUUCCAGUGCUUAUGUGGUGCGCUCUCAAAGAGUCGAGUUGUUUGGGAAUGCAGCUCAAAAUGGGUGGUAAACUCCAUCUAAAGCUAAAUAUUGGCGAGAGACCGAUAGCGAA